rnacentral:tRNA from 1 species
GGUCUUAAGUUUAAAUUGCAAAUUUAAAAGGGUACUUGUACUAAGACUU